UUCCAAACUUGUUUGUGGUGGAAC
rnacentral:misc_RNA from 1 species